UUCCACUAACAGGAAUCUUCAUUGUUGUUAAGUUUGUAUGACUGAAACAUUGACUUUAUAGGCCACUAAUAAGUAAUAAAUAUUGAGUUAGCUGGAAACAUGAACCUGGCAUUUUAUUUUAAUGAAUUUGUGGAUCUUUAAAGAAGACCUAUUUUCAUAUGUAAAUGGAUAAAUACAUUAUUUGGAUGUGUGUUUGUAAUGCAAUAUAGCUCAAGAUUGUUUAUUAACAUAUAAUAUAUGAUGG
rnacentral:misc_RNA from 1 species